CGAAACAGCAGAAAUAUUAUAAUGAGAAAGAGGUGAGGCAGAGGAUUGAAUUGAAUGAAGAUUUGGAUUGAAUGAAGAUUUGGAAGAAGAAGUGGCUUGAUGAUCGAAGGAUCUAUGAAUCUAGUGUUAGUAUAAAAAUGAAGCAUAGAAGUUUUGAUUAUGUCUCAAAGUCAAGUCUCAAGUGCUUUUGUUGCAAGAAGACCUUCAUGAAAACUUGU
rnacentral:lncRNA from 1 species